UGGGGAAUUUUGGACAAUGGGGGAAACCCUGAUCCAGCCAUCCCGCGUGUGCGAUGAAGGCCUUCGGGUUGUAAAGCACUUUUGGCAGGAAAGAAACGUCAUGGGUUAAUACCCCGUGAAACUGACGGUACCUGCAGAAUAAGCACCGGCUAACUACGUGCCAGCAGCCGCGGUAAUACGUAGGGUGCAAGCGUUAAUCGGAAUUACUGGGCGUAAAGCGUGCGCAGGCGGUUCGGAAAGAAAGAUGUGAAAUCCCAGAGCUCAACUUUGGAACUGCAUUUUUAACUACCGGGCUAGAGUGUGUCAGAGGGAGGUGGAAUUCCGCGUGUAGCAGUGAAAUGCGUAGGUAUGCGGAGGAACACCGAUGGCGAAGGCAGCCUCCUGGGAUAACACUGACGCUCAUGCACGAAAGCGUGGGGAGCAAACAGG
rnacentral:rRNA from 1 species